AAUAGAAUAUACAAUGUUUAAUUAAAUGAAAGCUUACAUUAUUUUCACUCGAUGCUUGAUGGCAAUUUUAAGGAAAACUCAGGAACCACCAAGAAAAACUUUCUCCUUUUUAAAUAAAAUGUAUUCUCUGUGAUAUCUUCACUCAAACCAGUAUAAACUGAGCAUAGCGUUAGUUCAACCAGUCACACCGUCAAUCAACCAACCGCCCAUACUGGCCCCCUAUUGGCCAACGCAUACACGAUGCACUACUUAAACCGUGACCACAGCCUCAUACCUCCUCAGCAGACAUCUCACAACCACCUCCUCCAGGUCAGUAUAUAUCCAACCAUUAACAUCUGCUCCAGGGGUUUCUGCUGACCGCUCUCCUUGCUUUAGCUGUUAGCUAGAGCUCAGGGAAGGUCAGUGAGGAGUGUGUUCCCAGCCUCCGACAUAAUCACGCGGAAAGGACAAGGAGGUCCUGGAACAGACCCAUACCGCCAAUACAUUAUUAUUGUAAAUAAUGUAUUUUGACUAAAGUCGUCCUGACUGAACUCUUCACAUAUUACAUAUUGGCAAAUAUAUCACUAUGUUCUUGAUAUGGUAUUGAAUAACCUAUAUUUAGUGGAUCAUGUGAAAUUAUGUCAAACAUUGUGUUCUAUGACUUGAUAUCUACGACAUUAAUUUUAUGAACUUCACAAUCGAAAAUUUCAUGUUUUCAGGGUAGGUCAACAAAAAGGUCCGUUUCAUAAAGUGCAUCCCAAGAUUUAUACUGUUACCAGUUGGUUUCAUAUUCUAGAGAUCCAAAGAUUUACAGUAAUUCCAUUAUUAUUGAGUUGUGUGUGGGGGGGCAUACAUAAAAAUGUCUUCCAUUUCAGGGGGAAAAUUUCAAUUUCCAAGUAAUGAUGCAGUAACAGUACGUAGUUUAAACAAACCUCAUGUUGGUUAUUUUAAGUCUCAUCACUAACGUGUUUUUACUGGUGGUUCUCCUGCUACAAUAGCAACAGUGGAGAUACACAACAAAAGGAACACAUCAGGAGCUACACAACAACCUGUCACUGGUUCACACACUUUAGUCACAAAACACAUCUUUCAGGAGGGGGCGGAGCUUCACUGGAGUAAACCAGGAAAGAAUUGUUACAGAAAGGACAGUGGAGCAGUACCAAAGUCCAAACUCUAAAAGUGUGUUAGCAUUUAACGCGACUUCAGCGACUAUAGUCAUUUAAAUCGGCCGUGAUGAGUCGCUUGAACAUAGUCGCACUUUUUGCUGCUUCAUCCACCCCAGUGACGUGACGACCACGGAAGUGCCGUAGGGAGAAACUCGUCACUGAUUGGAUGUUGUCACACGUCGUACACGUCGCAUCACUUGAAACAACUUCAAUGUGAUUUCAGUGACUGUGAUGACGAGAUUUCAUUCUAAAUCAAUGUAAAUAACAUCAAGCGACGCGACUCACGCGAUCUGAGUCGCUGAAAGUCGCUUAAAAUGAACUUUUCCAACGAGGUUCUACUUCUCCAGUCGUGAUGUCACUGGGGUAAAUGAAGCGUGACUAUGUUUAAGUGACUCAUUAAGGGUGAUUUGAAUAAGUACAGUCACUGAAGUGGUGUUGGGUGUAAACGCACCAUAAUAAAUAUAAAAUACAUACAAUUUACA
rnacentral:lncRNA from 1 species